GAUGAAGAACGUAGCGAAAUGCGAUAAGUAAUGCGAAUUGCAGAAUUUCCGUGAGUCAUCGAAUCUUUGAACGCACAUUGCGCUCACUGGUAUUCCGGUGGGCAUGCCUGUUCGAGCGUCAUUAUCCUCCCUCAAACCUCGGGUUUGGUGUUGGACCCAAGUUGUGUGAACAACUGGUCUUAAAGACAAUGACGGCGUCCGUGGGACCCUCGGUGCAACGAGCUUUUAGGAGCACGCGUCGAGUUUCAAGGACAUUCCGGGCCGGUCUCCUUUACCAUUUUACAAGGUUGACCUCGGAUCAGGUAGGAAUACCCGCUGAACUUAAGCAUAUCAAUAAGCGGAGGA
rnacentral:misc_RNA from 1 species